rnacentral:rRNA from 1 species
GAUGAACGCUGGCGGCGUGCCUAAUACAUGCAAGUCGAGCGAACAGAUGAGGAGCUUGCUCCUCUGACGUUAGCGGCGGACGGGUGAGUAACACGUGGAUAACCUACCUAUAAGACUGGGAUAACUUCGGGAAACCGGAGCUAAUACCGGAUAAUAUAUUGAACCGCAUGGUUCAAUAGUGAAAGACGGUUUUGCUGUCACUUAUAGAUGGAUCCGCGCCGCAUUAGCUAGUUGGUAAGGUAACGGCUUACCAAGGCGACGAUGCGUAGCCGACCUGAGAGGGUGAUCGGCCACACUGGAACUGAGACACGGUCCAGACUCCUACGGGAGGCAGCAGUAGGGAAUCUUCCGCAAUGGGCGAAAGCCUGACGGAGCAACGCCGCGUGAGUGAUGAAGGUCUUCGGAUCGUAAAACUCUGUUAUUAGGGAGGAACAAAUGUGUAAGUAACUAUGCACGUCUUGACGGUACCUAAUCAGAAAGCCACGGCUAACUACGUG